UACGUAGGGGGCAAGCGUUAUCCGGAUUUACUGGGUGUAAAGGGAGCGUAGGCGGCGAUGCAAGUCAGAAGUGAAAGCCCGGGGCUCAACCCCGGGACUGCAUUGGAAACUGUCGCGCUCGAGUGUCGGAGAGGUAAGUGGAAUUCCUAGUGUAGCGGUGAAAUGCGUAGAUAUUAGGAGGAACACCAGUGGCGAAGGCGGCUUACUGGACGACAACUGACGCUGAGGCACGAAAGCGUGGGUAUCGAACAGG
rnacentral:rRNA from 1 species